AAAAAAAAUGUAAGGAGAAACAUUCGCCCCCGGCAUCUGGCAAUUUGCAGGUAAAAGAAAACUAGGAACACAAUAAAUCCCAACGUGAAUAAGGGUAGGUAUCCAAACGAGUUUUGGUACAACCCCAGUCAGAGAGGCCCUUUUAUCUCACUUUAACGUUCAAAUCGGACAAGGAGGUCCGAUCUUGCGUGAGUGAAACUCCACUCUCGAAAAAUUCUAAUAGGAUAACGGCUUUGGGGGUUUGCUAUUUGAAUCUUACUAGAGUUCAGUCGUGGCAGAUGCGUAGUCGUGAAGUGAUAAUUUCAAAAAAUAAAUCAGAAUUUGUAACACUACACGACCAAAUAAUUGCGCCAUAAAUUUCCGUAAAAAUUUCCCUCGUGGUGGCUCACAUUCACGAUGACUUCAACCCCCAAUGAUUCGUUUAAUACAAGCGACCAGUUAAUGGACCUAUCCCUGAAAAACUUCUGGGUCAUUGUGCAUUAUCCCUGUAGCGACCCAGAGUGCGAAUAUGAAAUCGUGGGCAAGAAGGACCUAGUUUUUGACUCCUGGGAGGUGUUAGAACGUGGCGCUGUUGUCACAGUUAAGUAUGGUAACGCAAGAGUGCAAGGAAUCGUAGUCACAGUCUCAGACGACUAUAAUUUGCUGUCGGCGAAUUUGGAGGAUUAUAUCCAAGAAUACAAAGAGAUAAAGUUUGAAGAAUCGAGAAGCUCGUACGAAAAGCGCGGAAACUUCCGUCAUGUAAUUAAAAUCGCCGAUAAAGAAACGCAAACAGACUUUUGCGACGUUGAAAACGCGACACUAAAACGCCAAUAUGAGGAACUGCAAAAUAAAUACAACGAUUUGAAAUUGGCAGUCACUGAUGUGAAAGCCGAACUGAAAACCACAAUUUUGAAACUCGACGUUGAAGGAACGUUCAAAACCCCCUUACAACCACUGAACGACAACAAAGAAAACUCCAAACAAAUGGUGCAGAUUGGCUCAGGUGGCACGAAAAUCCCCCGUCAAGUCUACAAUUCGAUCAAAUGGGCCAGUUAUUCAGCAGCCACCCGAAAAUUACUAAUUACACUUUUCCCACGUAGUGUGCUUGCUACGCAUUCGCUAACGGGAAAACCAAGUCCCGCUUUUAUCUCCAGUAAUAAGCAAACGAAAAUGAGAUUGAACCCGACAAUCAUUUCCGAUAUCAUCGAAAUUGUCAUGAAAAAAUGUCUCGUUUCGGAGCCGUUGGUCCGAAAUGCCAUUACGACCAAAUGCGCCGACGAAAAUAAAAUGUACAAGAAACGACUAGAACGACAGCAGGUUGAAAGCGAUGACGAAAACAACGUCAAGAAAGUCAAACUUAAUUAAAUUUAGCGCCAUCACUUGUACAGUUUUCUGCAAUUAUAUGUGGACGGUUUGGAGCGGCUUUGAUAGGUGGCGCGGCACGAACAAGUCGAUUAAAUGUUAAUCUGAUCCAAAAAUCCUUUUUUUAAUUUUAUUUCAAAAGCUAGUUAUUUCAAAUUCAAAUUAAUGGCUGAUUAUAUUUGCAAAUUGCCUGCUUGACGUCACACGUGCCCUAGAAAUUUUUUACCAUUUUAAAUUUCUCCAAGUUGGUCCAAAACGGUUUAAUUGGACGAGUUGACGUCAUUUCAUCCCAUUAGAAUUUUUGUUUGCUUCCGCAAUUAGAACCCAGUUAGAGUGCUUUGCUAAAAACUUUCGUAAACACAACUGACAUCUUCAUUCAAUAGUGUUUUUUUAAUGCCAACAUUUGUAUUGUCUAUUAAAACUUAACAUAAAAUUACCUUAACUACCUUAAUUUAGUCAGAGCAAAUUCCUUCGUUUAAUUAACGAAAUAAACGGCACAAUACGGGCGUUUAUUGUUAAAUGUCCAAUAAAACAGCAUUUGCUGAUUCAAACGUGAAAGUCACAGUGAAGGUUCCUGCAAGGUUUAUGCUGUUGCUAACUCGCCGGCUUUAGCUGGGAGAAAAUUAAUAAUGCAAGAAAGACGCUGUUUACUGGAGGAAAUAUCUCAAGCAUCCAAAAGUCAAGUUUCGUCUGAUGUGUAGUGUUUUAAUCGAUGGACAGCGAGAUAAUGUGGUUGUAGAUGAAAGAUAACUCAAAUUACUUGGGAUGUACAUGGGGGAUCCACAAUUUAAUUAGUUUGUACACGGCUACCAACAUACUGCACCAGUUUAGAUCUCUUGUUCCGCCCGCAUGCAUUAAUCAGGCUGUUAAUUAGGCGUGGGUUCAUGUCCAGUUUAUUAAUUCUACGUGAAUCAAAAAUUAAUAAACCACAUUGCAUUUGUGUCUUCGUGUAGAAGAUAUAAAUCUUAUCACACGAAUGAAAAUGCCAACUAAACCAAAAACAGGGCAUAAAGAACCACUCGAACUGGAGGUGGGGACUGUGUCUGAAGAAAUCGAAGUUCCGGUGGCUUCCGAAGUUGUCUUUCGGAAAAUAUGGAAAAUCAAGCGCUUCCAC